GAUCCUGGCUCAGGAUGAACGCUGGCGGCGUGCCUAACACAUGCAAGUCGAGCGAAGCACUUUGCUUAGAUUCUUCGGAUGAAGAGGAUUGUGACUGAGCGGCGGACGGGUGAGUAACGCGUGGGUAACCUGCCUCAUACAGGGGGAUAACAGUUAGAAAUGACUGCUAAUACCGCAUAAGACCACAGCACCGCAUGGUGCGGGGGUAAAACGUACCGUGGUAGUNAGAUGGACCCGCCG
rnacentral:rRNA from 1 species